rnacentral:rRNA from 1 species
GCCACCCUACGGGGCGCAGCAGUGGGGAAUAUUGGGCAAUGGGCGCAAGCCUGACCCAGCAACGCCGCGUGAAGGAAGAAGGCUUUCGGGUUGUAAACUUCUUUUCUUGGGGACGAAGAAAGUGACGGUACCCAAGGAAUAAGCCACGGCUAACUACGUGCCAGCAGCCGCGGUAAUACGUAGGUGGCAAGCGUUAUCCGGAUUUACUGGGUGUAAAGGGAGCGCAGACGGCAAGGCAAGUCUGAUG